rnacentral:rRNA from 1 species
UUGUUCGCCAAACAACUACGAGUAGUAACUUAAAACUUAAAAGACUUGACGGUGCUUCAUAACCACCUAGAGGAGCCUGUCUGAUAACCGACAACCCACGUUUAACCCAACCCCCCCUUGCCAACAGUCUAUAUACCGCCGUCGCAAGCUUACCUUGUAAAAGGAAUAAAGUAAGCUGAAUAGUACCCCACUAAUACGACAGGUCGAGGUGUAACCCAUGGGGGGGCCUAGAUGGGCUACAUUCUCUCAGUAGAGAUACGGAUAUUACCAUCAACUUAGUAAUUGAAGAAGGAUUUAGAAGUAAGAUGGGAACAGAAUGCCCAACUGAACACAACGCAAUGAAGUGCGUACACACCGCCCGUCACCCCUGCCGAC